GCUUGUGCUGCUCUCCAUGAGGGCAGAAGGGUGCUCGUGCUCUUCUCCAUGAGGGCAGAACUUGAUACAAGUAAUGGUAUGGCUUUAUAACAAUUUGUAUUUGUACCAAUACCAACAGAAGUUUGAUUUUAUGUUGUAAUUGGCGCAUUCUAAAUUGCAUUUAUAACAAUAUUGACUCUUGUAUGUAGCCCUGUGAAUUUAGAUGUGUUUUUUUCACAGGUGUUCCAGGAGAGCAGUGUCUUGGUGUUACUGUUCUUGAUAUUAAGGGCUGGAGGAAGGAGCUGAAUUGUGAACCCCUGUCACCAACCACGACUCUCGCCUGGCUAGGGCUAAAGGCAAGUCAGACCAUCAUUGGAUUGUAAGCAUCCAUGAAAACCCACAACAGAUCAGAUGUAUCCCGUGCAAGGGGUCUCUUUACCCUGCCACUCUACUUCGCCCAGCUCCUGUUGUGCUGCCGUUUCAAGUGCCCCUGUGUGAGCUCAACACUGAGAAGGCCCAGUAUGAGGUAUG